CCCUUAGAUGUCCGGGGCUGCACGCGCGCUACACUGUAGAAAGCAACGUGCUUUAAAACCUUUCCUGAAAAGGAUGGGUAACCCCAGCAAAAUUCUACGUGCUUGGGAUAGAGAUUUGCAAUUUUCUCUCUUGAACGAGGAAUUCCCAGUAAGUGCGAGUCAUCAGCUCGCGUUGAUUACGUCCCUGCCCUUUGUACACACCGCCCGUCGCUACUACCGAUUGGGAAAAUUUUAGAGAGUCCUGGACUGAUGAUUGUUCGGCUUCACGGCCUUACUUUCGUCGGGAAAGAAUUCGAUAAUAUUUUUCUAGAGGAAGUAAAAGUCGUAACA
rnacentral:rRNA from 1 species